AAGACUAUAGACCUGCGGAGUACCUGCGGCGGGAUCAUUACCGAGUUAGGGUUCCUCUCACGGGCCCGACCUCCCAACCCUGUGUCUAUCACACCUUGUCGUUGCUUCGGCGGACCGGUUUGACUCCGGUCGCGACCGCCGGGGGUGCUUCACCCCGGGAGAGCGUCCGCCGAUGGCCCAACCACAAAACUUCUUUGUACCAAAACCGGUCGUCUAAAUCAAACUUGAUCAUAAUCAAAA
rnacentral:misc_RNA from 1 species